CUUGUCAGACAUGUUUUGCCGAACUAGGUAAAUUGCCAGUUAGAGAUCCUCUAGUCAUUGUUUAUCUGCUCUAACAUUGUCCACUUGAUAACUCUAAGACGAAAUUAUGUUUGUGAUGAAACUUUGCCAGUAGUCCCACAUCGAAAAAUAAGUAAGAAGAGAAAUGCCAAUUUGAUUUCUGAUAGGUGUUUUUACAUUCACCCCAAUAUUUCGUUUUCCUUGCUCAAGAAGCUUGUAGCUCAAAUUCCCCCUCUUCAGCCUCCUUCAUAGCCAGAACAAAGAAAUAUGAAUGCACCAGACCUCAACUCAUGGCUAUUUAGAGGGUUUCAGGCAGCGUCACCACAAUGUGGCAUUAAACCUCGUGAACAAACAUACAAGUUGAACUCACAAUAUCAAGCUUGAGAAGGUCUAGCAAAAACACCACAUGACAGUUUCAUUCAAUCCAUUUUAUCAAGGCACUCUAGUGCUCUUCACGAGGGCAUGAAACUGGUUUUAACUGGGCUCUUAAGCCAGAUAUGCACUCUCACCUGCUCUGAGAAUUUACUAUAUAUAAAACGUUGGUUAACUGUUCAUAAGCCGUUACUGUUCAUAGCCGAGCCAAAUAAAGUUCAAAGUAGAAGAUGAUAUACCACCAAACAGUUCAAAUCCAGACAAAAGGAACCUUAGUGAUGAUUCCAGAUUUCACACAGAGUGCUCCAGAGGGAUUAUAUGCGCUUCGCCUUCGGUACAUACGACAGAAGCCUGUAUCUACACCGAUCUAGAAGUCUCUAUCCACAGCAACAUUGGCUGUUCCAGAUUAUCGGGUUUAGUGAUUGAUCAAAGCUUCAUAAAGUUUGGGUUCUUCUGGAUAACGUUAACUCUUCCAGAUUAUCAGAGAAAAAGAGGGAGAAUAGAAUGGGGGAAGAAAGAAAAAAGGAGAAGAGAGAGACGAGAAGCUCUCACUUGCUUGAAAGAAAACAAGUGGAUCCUACACUUGGUCAAUGUUAGCAAGUCAAAUCAUCUACAUAAAUUCUUCUUGAAGCCUGAGUACUAUUGCAAAUAGUUAGAAUCAAGCUUUAGCUAAUUAAUUAUUGAGUUUGGAGGAACAAGACCAAGUUUGUUCUGCAGAACAAUCCUCAAUAAACAAAAAUGAUUACCUCCGAUGUUUAACAUACAAAGUUUCUUGAACUAACAGGAAGCUAAUGAGGUCAGAAUCAAUAAAAUGCCAAAUGGUCUUCUCGGCUUUCAGAACCCAACACAUGAAUGAAGCAAAAAUGUAAUGAAAAUCUGGAAUUCUAAUGAAGCGCACUGGAACUGUCAAAUUUUUCAGUCCACAUCCACCUAAUCCUGAUAGGAGAUAGUAUGGUCUCCAGUUCAAGAAUUGACUCCUUUGCUAUCUAGGAUAUAAGUGCAACUCAACCUCCAAAAACACGCUCUUACAGCUCUGUAUGAUAAAUUUUUAAUGUCUUGAUGUAUUGAGCCAACUGCUGUGAUUAAAGAGGCCCAUCUUACCCCACCAGAAUAGCAUUCGAUCUGUGGAAAGACUGCUCCAAGGAGCAUCCUACAUCAGUUCUGAAUAUUAAAGAUGAAGUAUCCAUUUAGGACAGGGCCUGAACUCAUGUCCACAAAGAAAGGAAAGUUUGUUUGAUUUGAAGUUAUUGAAUCUGGUGAGAAAUCCAUCAAGCUAAUUUGUCUGUCUCUAAUGCAAUCCCCAUAAUCAUCUUAACUCGAAUCAUACUAACUUUUUGACACUACCAUCACAUCACCAUCAUGUCUGAUUUCCUAACUUCUCUGAUACUUCAAAUCACAAACAAAUCCUCUGCAUUCCAAGGCCCACAUCACUCAUCCUCGCAGAAAACAGAAGAAGAAGGAAGAAAAGAAGAAGAGGGGAACAUGAACCUCUCAACGAAAUCAUCAACCUCAGCAGUCCAAUACUAAGUUGUUUGUAGCUGUCCAACAAGUAUGGAGUCUUCUAAAGAACUCCAUGACUCUAUACUUGAGGAUGAAGCCAAGUUAUACCCUUCUGUUAAACAUGAUGUAUCCAUUACUGUAAUCGAAACAAGCUCUCAUAUUUUGGACAUCUGAGUUUAAGACAAGAGUCACAACAUUUGCCAAAGAAAAGCUCUCCAGAGAUGACAUUCAAAUUAAAAACUGGGACAUACCAUUUUCGCCAUUGCUUUUAUGUUUUAAAUCUAUGAAUCCAAAAAGGAAUUCAAAGAUUACUACUCUUUUGUAGUCUUUCCUUCAACUACAUUGCAAAAAAACAUCAACUACAUUCAAGAAAAUUUCUUAAAUAUGAAUUGUCAAAUUUGAGGAUCAACUAUUCUACCUUGCA